AGUGAACGCUGGCGGCAGGCCUAACACAUGCAAGUCGAGCGGCAGCGCGGGGGCAACCCUGGCGGCGAGCGGCGGACGGGUGAGGAAUUCGUCGGAAUCUGCCUUUUUGUGGGGGAUAACGUAGGGAAACUUACGCUAAUACCGCAUACGUCCUACGGGCGAAAGUGGGGGACCGCAAGGCCUCACGCAGAAAGAUGAGCCGACGACCGAUUAGCUAGUUGGUGGGGUAAAGGCCCACCAAGGCGACGAUCGGUAGCUGGUCUGAGAGGAUGAUCAGCCACACGGGGACUGAGAAACGGCCCAGACUCCUACGGGAGGAAGCAGUGGGGAAUAUUGGACAAUGGGCGCAAGCCUGAUCCAGCCAUGCCGCGUGUGUGAAGAAGGCCUUCGGGUUGUAAAGCACUUUUGUCCGGAAAGAAAUCCCUGGAGCUAAUACCUUCGGGGGAUGACGGUACCGGAAGAAUAAGCACCGGCUAACUUCGUG
rnacentral:rRNA from 1 species